rnacentral:rRNA from 1 species
AGUGAACGCUGGCGGUAGGCCUAACACAUGCAAGUCGAACGGCAGCACAGGAGAGCUUGCUCUCUGGGUGGCGAGUGGCGGACGGGUGAGGAAUACAUCGGAAUCUACCUUUUCGUGGGGGAUAACGUAGGGAAACUUACGCUAAUACCGCAUACGACCUACGGGUGAAAGUGGGGGACCGCAAGGCCUCACGCGAUUAGAUGAGCCGAAGUCCGAUUAGCUAGUUGGCGGGGUAAUGGCCCACCAAGGCGACGAUCGGUAGCUGGUCUGAGAGGAUGAUCAGCCACACUGGAACUGAGACACGGUCCAGACUCCUACGGGAGGCAGCAGUGGGGAAUAUUGGACAAUGGGCGAAAGCCUGAUCCAGCCAUACCGCGUGGGUGAAGAAGGCCUUCGGGUUGUAAAGCCCUUUUGUUGGGAAAGAAAUCCUGUCGAUUAAUACUCGGUGGGGAUGACGGUACCCAAAGAAUAAGCACCGGCUAACUUCGUGCCAGCCGCCGCAGUAACAC